GAUGAACGCUGGCGGCGUGCCUAAUACAUGCAAGUCGAGCGAACGGACGAGAAGCUUGCUUCUCUGAUGUUAGCGGCGGACGGGUGAGUAACACGUGGAUAACCUACCUAUAAGACUGGGAUAACUUCGGGAAACCGGAGCUAAUACCGGAUAAUAUUUUGAACCGCAUGGUUCAAAAGUGAAAGACGGUCUUGCUGUCACUUAUAGAUGGAUCCGCGCUGCAUUAGCUAGUUGGUAAGGUAACGGCUUACCAAGGCAACGAUGCAUAGCCGACCUGAGAGGGUGAUCGGCCACACUGGAAAUGAGACACGGUCCAGACUCCUAAGGGAGGCAGCAAUAGGGAAUCUUCCGCAAUGGGCGAAAACCUGACGGGGCAACGCCGCGUGAGUGAUGAAGGUUUUCGGAACGUAAAACUCUGUUAUUAGGGAAGAACAUAUGUGUAAGUAACUGUGCACAGCUUGACGGUACCUAAUCAGAAAAGCACGGCUAACUUAGUG
rnacentral:rRNA from 1 species